rnacentral:rRNA from 1 species
GACGAACGCUGGCGGCGUGCUUAACACAUGCAAGUCGAACGGAGUGGCGAACGGGUGCGUAACACGUGGUUGACCUGCCCUGCACUUCGGGAUAAGCCUGGGAAACUGGGUCUAAUACCGGAUAGUGUGGGAUGGGCCCGGGGCCUAUCAGCUUGUUGGUGGGGUAAUGGCCUACCAAGGCGGCGACGGGUUGCCGGCCUGAGAGGGUGGACGGCCACAUGGGGACUGAGACACGGGCAAGACGGCGACGGGAGGCAGGAGGGGGGAAGAGUGCACAAUGGGCGGAAGCAUGAUGCAGGGACGCCGCGUGGGGGAGGACGGCCUUUGGGUUGUAAACUCCUUUCACCAUCGACGCGGUAGAUGGAGAAGAAGCACCGGCUAACUACGUGCCAGCAGCCGCGGUAAUAC